CGGCGGACGGGUGAGUAAUGUCUGGGAAACUGCCCGAUGGAGGGGGAUAACUACUGGAAACGGUAGCUAAUACCGCAUAAUGUCUACGGACCAAAAGCGGGGGGACCUCCGGGCCUCGCGCCAUCAGAUGAACCCAUAUGGGAUUAGCUAGUAGGUAAGGUAACGGCUUACCUAGGCGACGAUCCCUAGCUGGUCUGAGAGGAUGACCAGCCACACUGGAACUGAGACACGGUCCAG
rnacentral:rRNA from 1 species